AUUGAACGCUGGCGGCAGGCCUAACACAUGCAAGUCGAGCGGAGCGGCGGACGGGUGAGUAAUGCCUAGGAAUCUGCCAGGUCGUGGGGGAGAACGUCCGGAACCGGGCGCUAAUACCGCAUCCUAUCAGCUGAGCCUAGGUCGGAUUAGCUAGUUGGUGGGGUAAAGGCUUACCAAGGCGACGAUCCGUAACUGGUCUGAGAGGAUGAUCAGUCACACUGGAACUGAGACACGGUCCAGACUCCUACGGGAGGCAGCAGUGGGGAAUAUUGGACAAUGGGCGAAAGCCUGAUACAGCCAUGCCGCGUGUGUGAAGAAGGUCUUCGGAUUGUAAAGCACUUUAAGCUGGGAGGCGUUACCAACAGAAUAAGCACCGGCUAACUUCGUGCCAGCAGCCGCGGUAAUAC
rnacentral:rRNA from 1 species